UGACCUGGAUUUUUAAAAAUAUUUUUAUUAGUAUUAAAAGUGAUUUUUCUUAAAAAGAAGGGAAUAAGAUUUAAUAUUUUAUUCCAGUUUAAUGAGUUUUCAAGGUUUUAUAUUUAAACCCCGGGUUAUUGUGUUAUUGAUAAAUAAUUGUAUUUUUAAAACUGAUUUUCAUAUAUUGUUUUGAAAAUUUUAGAUGAUUAUUAUGUGAAUAUAUGUGUGAUGUGAGUAAGUGGUAUUGGUGGAUUUGUUGGUUAAUUAAUUAUGGUUAAUUAUGAGUAUUAUAUGAUUAAUAUAUGAAUUUUUGUGAAUUUUAUAUUAUCUGGUUUAUUGCGUUAACUGCUCAUAUGUGUUCGUAUUUGAGAGAUUUCAAUUUCUAUAUGCUCAGGAGAAAAUAUAGUUUAUUUGGAUAUUUUCAUAUCGAUUUAUGGAAUGUUAGAUGAUUUUAUAAUCGAUUUACGGAUUUAAUUGUGUAUAUUUAUAUUUAUUUAUUAAUUAUGUGACUUCCGUAAAACCGUCCACUCGUAACGGUGUAGCGAUUUUUCUUCCCGGAAGUUUCGAGAAAACUUACCUUUAGCCUAAUUUCAAUAUUCCGGACAUUUUUCGUGUUUUGACUUUUUCGAUCCGGAGUACGGUUUUCCCCGGAGUCGGUCCGGCGGAGUUUUUCGGGUAUUUUAAUUGUUGAUAAUUAUCCAGUUUGUCUCGAUAAGCGUGAAACGAGAUAUUUUGAUUAUUAUAUUCAUCCUUAUCUUGUAAUAAUUGCAAUGGGACCCGCAGACCAAUAAUUGAGUUAAAAAGCCCCGUUUUGAUGAUUAUCUCGAAAACCGGUACCGAUUGGACCCCGCUUUAUUAAUAUAAAGCUAUUAAAUACGUAUUUUCAUGUCAUAAACGAUCCAAAGGGGUACCAAUUAUUUGUAAAUAUAAAUAGACUUUCCUGUAACUUAUUUUCACCGUAGAAAUCAUUUCAACAGUUUCUCUGCACGAAUAUCGAGAGAAACCGAGCGGUGUUCUUCGUGUUCUUCAUAAUCAAACGAAGAUUUGAAGGUGUUAUUGGAAUCCGAUGGAGGCGUAUAAAUAGUCAAAACGAGGCUAUCGACGCGUAGAAUCAAGCUUAAUCAUCCGUUUAUAUGCAGAUUCAACAGGAUUUGGACGAGACGUGUACGCUCGAAGACGUCAGAAAGUCGGAAUGGUAUUGCAAAGCGAAUAAGGGAUGAUUGAGUAAGCGAAGCGAAGUGGCGAAUAGAGUAUAGCUAGAGAUGGUCUAGAGAUUACGAGAUGCAUAGAUUGUGAAAGUUGAAAGAUGAGGUUGAGCUAUGAAACUGGAGUCAGAUUUAAGGCAAGUAUCCUAAACCUUUCUCUUGGAUAUAUUGCAAAUAUUCUGAUCCAUUCCUUUGGUAUAUGUUUCAAGUAUUCAUACCUUUCUUUUCAAUGUUCGAAAGUGCGAGUAUUCUGACCCAUUCUUUCUAAUCUUCAAGUUUCUAAAGAAUUUCCGUUUUACAAAUUAAUUCGAAGUUCAGAUUGUCAUUGAAGCAUGUGUUGCUCAGUGAUAGUUAGAGCUUUGAAUGAAUUGGGAUCUUCUUGAUUAUUCAACCCGCCAUUGUCAUGCUGGUUUAGCAGGCUAAAUUCAGUUGCUUAGCCGAUAAUGGAGGAUACUGAAUAGUUGAGGAUUUCCUGAACUGUGAUUUAUGAAAUGAUGGAUCAUGAUUUAUGAAUAGAUUAUUAUCAAAGUUUGAAUUGGAAUUAUUCUGUUGUUGAUGAUAUUUAUGAUGAUGUUCUGUUAAUUUACAUUGGCUUCUUGAAUUGAAUUAGAGAAUUGGAUUAUUGUUUUUAUAUAAACCUGUGGACCAGAUUCGUGGUCAUGUUAGGCCAAUGAGUGCCUUGGAUCCAGUGAUAGAGCAUGGCGGGGCCUGCUCGGGGUUAGUGCGGAACUGAUCAGCUGCCUAACCUUGGUUUUAAUUAAAAUGUGAUAGUCCAAUUCAAUAAUUCUUUGGAAAGAUUGAAUUUCUCAGUUUAAAUGCUGCAAGGUAUUGUAAAUCAUUCUAUACAAUACCAUGAACUCAUGAAAUCAGGUUGAAUCCUCUUAUAUCUUGAACUCGUGAACUUUUGUUAUAUCAUUUCAGAACUAUCAUUGUUUAUUAUUACUUGCUGAGCAUUGUUGCUCACCCUUGCUAUUCCUUUCUAACCAUUUCAGAAAGGCUUAAAGUUGAGAUGAUUGAUUGAGAUUGUGGAUAAGGCUAAUGCUAGGCGAGGAGACAGAGUUGAGGAUCCAGUGGUUGAGGAGUGUUCAGGAAAGUUGAUGAGGUUGGUGCAAGCUAGAGCUGUGCUAUAGGGUUUCAAGUGUAAGUCAUAGCUAGAAUAGUUGACAGUGAUUCCUCUUAUCGAAGAUGAUCUGAUUUGGUAAGAAAUGCUGUGUAAUAUUAGUGGUGGAUUCUAAUUUCAAUACUGUAACCUGGAUGCGAUCCUGUUGUUUUAGGGGGUUGAAAUGUGCUCUUUCAAAUAUUUUAUGAUGGCUUUCAAGUUUUGAAUUUCAAGUUUUAAAAUUCUUUUGGAUUUUCAUUAUCUUUAUAUAAAAAAAAAUAUUGCAGGUUUUUUUUAAGGUGUUUUAAAAAUGGUUUUUGUGUGGUGACGUCAGAAUCCAGACCCCCGGAUUCUCGGACUGUCACAGUUGGUAUCAGAGCAACAGGUUAUAAGUAUUUGAAAUUAGAAUAUAGAUCAUAGUUAUAGGUUUUCUAGAGAAGAAUGUUGGGUGACCUCGGAUAGAGGUAUUGUGAGACUAUUUAGAAAUAGUCUAGGGAUGUGAUAGAGAAAUAGAAUCUAGUUAGAUGAUUAAGUUGAGUGCAUAAGUUUGGAGAGAUUUUGAUUCCUAAGUUAGACAUAUGAUUUUUGGUAUGUUGACUAAUUGAGAUGAUGAAUUGUGAGAAAGGUCAAGAUUAGACCUAGAUAGAAAAGUUGAUAGUGAAUGAUUGAGUUGAGAAUGGUGAAAAUGCAGAGUUCAGAGUAUUCUGACUAUACUGCAUAGUUGAAAAUGGUCUAUGGUAUUGAUUUGAGAAGGAUAAAGAUGCAUGGUUCAUAGUAUGUUGACCAUGUUAGAUAUUUGGAAGAGGUAUGUUGUUUUUGUGAGAUAUGAAGAGUUAGUGUAAGAUAUGAGUUGCACAGAAUUAGAAGGAGAGACUUGUAUAUAGAGGUUGAUAGAUGAGAAGUGUAUGAUAGAGAGUAAGUGAAGUUGAUUCAGGUUAUUAGAAGCGAUAUUUGCGAGUAAUUUAGAAUGUGAAUUCUCACGACGACGUUUUAAGUUAAGCGGGACAAGGUGGGCCCAUAACCCACAGGGCGACGAUCCAGAAAAUCGAAGAUAUGCUACGUGUGGUGUUAUGGACUUCAAAGGCAACUGGAUGAAGCAUGAGAACGUGAACUACUUGGGUCAGACUUAUUACGAACGAUAACGUCUACGAUGACAUCUUAUGAGGCUAUUACGAGUUAAAUCGAUUGAUUAUCGAGAACGUUGAAAGGAUGACAUAAAUCGAAUAACGAUUUCGUAAAGUAGAGUGGGAAUUUGAGAAGACCUUGGCAAUACCUCUCUUCAACUAAAGGUUCUUUUGAUUGUUUUCUCAUCAGUGAGAUAUUAUCAUGAUAUCUUUUCUACAAAAGUUUUGAUAAAUGAGAUCUUCAAUUUCUCAAAUUCUAAGAUGACAUUGGUAUUGAUUAUUGGUAUGAGUUGGAAAGCAAAGAUGUGUGAUAAAGGUUUGUUGUAAAGAGAUAGUGAUGUUCCUUGAUAUUGUUUGACAUUUCUUGACAUUCCUUGAUACCCUUUCAUCUACCUUGAUAUCCCUUAGUGUUCUUUGAUAUUGUUGAUAUUCAUUGAUAUUCUCUGAUAUUCCUUAACAUUUCUUCAAUUUGAUUGGGAUGAACAACCCUAUUUAUAGGGGACACAAGGUAUACCUGUCUGUGUGAUAGGAGUUGGAUGGGACGCCAUCACUUGUGUGUGUUGUGAUUACAAGAAGGUUAACAACCUUUAGUAGUGUCUAAUGUGGACACGCAACACCAAGUUCGUUGAUCAUAUAGAUCUCUCAGUCACUCCUUUAUUCAAAUGUGAUCUACCUUGAAAACAUUUUGUUCUAUUCAAAAUUCCACAAGAUUGAUUCUUGGGAAAUGAAUUUUGCAAUUGUAAAAGUUUGAUUUUCCUUUUUCAUUAAAGUUAAAGGUAUGCCAAGAUCAACCAAAGGUGAAUGACGAUAUGAUAUUACGAAGCGUGUACGUUUUAGUUUCUUCGGAGGAUUCGAGGACGGAAUCCUUAUAAGGGGGUCAUUCCUGUAAUAUCCCAUAUUAUUAAAUUUAGAUGUGAUUAUUAUAAAUCUAUUUGUCUAGAUAUUAUUGUUGGCUCUAGUUGAAUAUUGAUAUGAUUAUGUGAAUAGUUGUAUGUGAUUAUACUUGUUAUGUGGAUUAAUAUGGAUUUUACAGAUUAUGCAUCCUCCUUCUUUUUCUGAUUCCGAGGACGGAAUCCCUAUAAGGAGGGUAGAUUGUAAUGACCUGGAUUUUUAAAAAUAUUUUUAUUAGUAUUAAAAGUGAUUUUUCUUAAAAAGAAGGGAAUAAGAUUUAAUAUUUUAUUCCAGUUUAAUGAGUUUUCAAGGUUUUAUAUUUAAACCCCGGGUUAUUGUGUUAUUGAUAAAUAAUUGUAUUUUUAAAACUGAUUUUCAUAUAUUGUUUUGAAAAUUUUAGAUGAUUAUUAUGUGAAUAUAUGUGUGAUGUGAGUAAGUGGUAUUGGUGGAUUUGUUGGUUAAUUAAUUAUGGUUAAUUAUGAGUAUUAUAUGAUUAAUAUAUGAAUUUUUGUGAAUUUUAUAUUAUCUGGUUUAUUGCGUUAACUGCUCAUAUGUGUUCGUAUUUGAGAGAUUUCAAUUUCUAUAUGCUCAGGAGAAAAUAUAGUUUAUUUGGAUAUUUUCAUAUCGAUUUAUGGAAUGUUAGAUGAUUUUAUAAUCGAUUUACGGAUUUAAUUGUGUAUAUUUAUAUUUAUUUAUUAAUUAUGUGACUUCCGUAAAACCGUCCACUCGUAACGGUGUAGCGAUUUUUCUUCCCGGAAGUUUCGAGAAAACUUACCUUUAGCCUAAUUUCAAUAUUCCGGACAUUUUUCGUGUUUUGACUUUUUCGAUCCGGAGUACGGUUUUCCCCGGAGUCGGUCCGGCGGAGUUUUUCGGGUAUUUUAAUUGUUGAUAAUUAUCCAGUUUGUCUCGAUAAGCGUGAAACGAGAUAUUUUGAUUAUUAUAUUCAUCCUUAUCUUGUAAUAAUUGCAAUGGGACCCGCAGACCAAUAAUUGAGUUAAAAAGCCCCGUUUUGAUGAUUAUCUCGAAAACCGGUACCGAUUGGACCCCGCUUUAUUAAUAUAAAGCUAUUAAAUACGUAUUUUCAUGUCAUAAACGAUCCAAAGGGGUACCAAUUAUUUGUAAAUAUAAAUAGACUUUCCUGUAACUUAUUUUCACCGUAGAAAUCAUUUCAACAGUUUCUCUGCACGAAUAUCGAGAGAAACCGAGCGGUGUUCUUCGUGUUCUUCAUAAUCAAACGAAGAUUUGAAGGUGUUAUUGGAAUCCGAUGGAGGCGUAUAAAUAGUCAAAACGAGGCUAUCGACGCGUAGAAUCAAGCUUAAUCAUCCGUUUAUAUGCAGAUUCAACAGGAUUUGGACGAGACGUGUACGCUCGAAGACGUCAGAAAGUCGGAAUGGUAUUGCAAAGCGAAUAAGGGAUGAUUGAGUAAGCGAAGCGAAGUGGCGAAUAGAGUAUAGCUAGAGAUGGUCUAGAGAUUACGAGAUGCAUAGAUUGUGAAAGUUGAAAGAUGAGGUUGAGCUAUGAAACUGGAGUCAGAUUUAAGGCAAGUAUCCUAAACCUUUCUCUUGGAUAUAUUGCAAAUAUUCUGAUCCAUUCCUUUGGUAUAUGUUUCAAGUAUUCAUACCUUUCUUUUCAAUGUUCGAAAGUGCGAGUAUUCUGACCCAUUCUUUCUAAUCUUCAAGUUUCUAAAGAAUUUCCGUUUUACAAAUUAAUUCGAAGUUCAGAUUGUCAUUGAAGCAUGUGUUGCUCAGUGAUAGUUAGAGCUUUGAAUGAAUUGGGAUCUUCUUGAUUAUUCAACCCGCCAUUGUCAUGCUGGUUUAGCAGGCUAAAUUCAGUUGCUUAGCCGAUAAUGGAGGAUACUGAAUAGUUGAGGAUUUCCUGAACUGUGAUUUAUGAAAUGAUGGAUCAUGAUUUAUGAAUAGAUUAUUAUCAAAGUUUGAAUUGGAAUUAUUCUGUUGUUGAUGAUAUUUAUGAUGAUGUUCUGUUAAUUUACAUUGGCUUCUUGAAUUGAAUUAGAGAAUUGGAUUAUUGUUUUUAUAUAAACCUGUGGACCAGAUUCGUGGUCAUGUUAGGCCAAUGAGUGCCUUGGAUCCAGUGAUAGAGCAUGGCGGGGCCUGCUCGGGGUUAGUGCGGAACUGAUCAGCUGCCUAACCUUGGUUUUAAUUAAAAUGUGAUAGUCCAAUUCAAUAAUUCUUUGGAAAGAUUGAAUUUCUCAGUUUAAAUGCUGCAAGGUAUUGUAAAUCAUUCUAUACAAUACCAUGAACUCAUGAAAUCAGGUUGAAUCCUCUUAUAUCUUGAACUCGUGAACUUUUGUUAUAUCAUUUCAGAACUAUCAUUGUUUAUUAUUACUUGCUGAGCAUUGUUGCUCACCCUUGCUAUUCCUUUCUAACCAUUUCAGAAAGGCUUAAAGUUGAGAUGAUUGAUUGAGAUUGUGGAUAAGGCUAAUGCUAGGCGAGGAGACAGAGUUGAGGAUCCAGUGGUUGAGGAGUGUUCAGGAAAGUUGAUGAGGUUGGUGCAAGCUAGAGCUGUGCUAUAGGGUUUCAAGUGUAAGUCAUAGCUAGAAUAGUUGACAGUGAUUCCUCUUAUCGAAGAUGAUCUGAUUUGGUAAGAAAUGCUGUGUAAUAUUAGUGGUGGAUUCUAAUUUCAAUACUGUAACCUGGAUGCGAUCCUGUUGUUUUAGGGGGUUGAAAUGUGCUCUUUCAAAUAUUUUAUGAUGGCUUUCAAGUUUUGAA